rnacentral:misc_RNA from 1 species
UACGGAGGAGGCGAGCGUUGUUCGGAAUUACUGGGCGUAAAGCGCGUGUAGGCGGCCCGUUAAGUCGGAUGUGAAAGCCCGGAGCUCAACUCCGGAACUGCAUCCGAUACUGGCGGGCUUGAGGCAGGUAGAGGAGAGUGGAAUUCCCGGUGUAGCGGUGGAAUGCGCAGAUAUCGGGAGGAACACCAGCGGCGAAGGCGGCUCUCUGGGCCUGGCCUGACGCUGAGACGCGAAAGCGUGGGGAGCGAACAGG